UGGGGAAUUUUGGACAAUGGACGCAAGUCUGAUCCAGCCAUGCCGCGUGAGUGAAGAAGGCCUUCGGGUUGUAAAGCUCUUUUGUCAGGGAGCAAAUCCUGCCUGCUAAUACUAGGCGGGGAUGAGAGUACCUGAAGAAUAAGGACCGGCUAACUACGUG
rnacentral:rRNA from 1 species